ensembl:lncRNA
CAAGAAGCUGCUCACAGCAACAGGAAGAAACAUGGAAGCACCACCUCCAUUUGGAUGGAGAUUAGAAGUAUCUACAAUGUGCCAAACAUAGGGAGUUUAAUUUAAUUAUGAUAAAAAAAAAAUUGUGCACAAGGAUGUGGCCCAGACCGUUGACAUACAGGCGCCCGUUACGGCUGAUCAACGCGUCUCUGAAGGAACACAUCGGGCUCCUGCUUCCCCUUCCGGUCGUUGAGCUUGAGCACACACUCUAUCUCUUUUGCACAGACACACUCACACACAUGUAUACGCACACACACAAACACACGUAUGCGC